rnacentral:rRNA from 1 species
UGGUUGGUGGAGUGAUUUGUCUGGUUAAUUCCGAUAACGAACGAGACUCUAGCCUGCUAACUAGUUCGCCGGCAGCUCCUGUCGCGCGGGGGCGCUUCGGCGGCAAACUUCUUAGAGGGACAGGUGGCGUUUAGCCACACGAAGUAGAGCAAUAACAGGUCUGUGUGCCCUAAGAUGUCCGGGGCCGCACGCGCGCUACACUGAAAGAAUCAACGUGGAUGCCCACCUGCUCCGAGAGGAGUGGGAAACCCGAUGAAUCUCUUUCGUGAUGGGGAUUGGGGCUGUAAUUGUUCCCCAUGA